CACGCAGAAACGCCCCCAAGCCCUAAAAGCGCCAACAACAAGGCAGGAUUUACCCUCGCUUAUACGGCGCGAUUUCAAGGCCGGUGUCCGGCGGGUGACAUGUCAAGUAAAAGAUCUUGCUGCCCUAACAGAAGAAGGCUAAAUGUCCUUCCAUCUGAGCACUAGCCUGGGGCCACCCUUCGUCCCACUGCACUUGGUCCUUUACAACUUCUGACUCCCAGAGGAAACUCCAGGACUCAAAAGGAAACCCUACAAGCAUUCAAAUACUUUGGGCAUCUUUGUGGCCCACGUGAGCUCACAAGAACCCCAGGACACUGAGGGAGGAGCCAUCUCUGCUUGGCAGUAAGAAAUACUGGGGAAUGGGAAGCCUUAAUUCCCAGUGCAGGGACUGAUGAACCAUCAGGUCAGACUCUGCAGUACAUGGGCAGGGUUGUACCAUGCUUCUCCUUGCUCUUCUGUGACUGAAUAAAGCCAGCCAGGCAUAGAUAUUGUUUCUCUCAAGCAGCCAGGCAUAACCCAGACUUGUUUACCUGCCUAGCAACACAUUAACUACAUCCCAGUGAGCUGGUGAUAUAUAAUCCAGCAUUCAGGCUAUUGGCAUCACCUGAUUAGUCUAUGUGUUUUGAUUAUUAAACACUGCAGAAGAAAAGUAUCUAAAAUUUUCUUGCAGUCAUAGGACUGCUCCUACCUUUACACACCACAUUGAAAUAUUCAUGGCAUUUAUAAUUUUAAAUGGAUUUGGAUUGCAAGUAACAACUUGGUGUAAACAUUUUUAAUCUUGUAAAUUGGAAGCAAAAUGGGUCCAAUUUGAAAAUUAGCUAUUAUUUUAGUGUUUCACCUAUUUUUCUAAUUAACAUUAAAAAAAGUUAUGGAGUAAACAAAUAUAUUUAGACUUUGGUUCAUUCAAGUGUCUACUACUACUACCUCACAUUGUUUUUCUAAUUGGCUGCACUUUAUGGUGAAAACUUAAAUACUAUCUUCUUCAAUUCUGAAUGAGAGGCAAGUGUAAAAGAAUAAGAUUGAAAAUAAACAGAAAAAAUGCACCAAAACACUCUGCAUAGUUGUUACAGUUAACAACAGCAGAAGUAGAAAUGGUUAGGGAAGGAAAUGAGCUUGUGAUCCCACAUGUUGCACACCUGUAUCCAUGUGAGAUCACAGCUCUGAUCUUUAUGGUUUGUCUCACCCACUGCAGCUCUUUCCAGCCCCGCUGCAUACCCUGCUUGGGGAACUUGCCUGUUGUCACAGCCUGCUUGCUGAUGGCCUGUAUUGCCUGCAGUGCUCAGAGUGGGGACAAGCAUUCUCAAAGCAUCCCAUUCUUUCUGCUGCACUCUCCUUCAGCUUUUUAAAAUUCCAUUUUCAAAUGCAGCUCAUACUUUAUCUCUUCUAUUUUACAGCUUACCUUUGCACAGAACUUCUCCAUGCUGGUGUCUGCAUCGGAAAGGGCUGUGGGCUGUGCAGCACUGAAGAGGGUUAGGCAUUCACAUGCAUAGUGAAAACAAAUCAGAGCAUUAAAAAAGUGUAUGAUAAAUACAAACUUUUUACUUAAAGAUAUGAGUGAUAAGGAUAGAAAGACUGUUAUUGCUAGUAGAGAUUUUAAUUCUCCAAACCAUCUGUUUUUGAUGAUUGUUGGAAGCAGGAUACAAGACUUACAUCAAACACAGGUUCAAACUGGUUCCAGCACUGCUCAGUUCCUCAGAUCCUAGGGUCUCUAGCUCCAAAAAGUAAAAAAACCCUAAUAAUAAGAGCAACAAUUAAAUAAUUAUUACAAAUAUUAUUUUGCCUUUUUAUGUCUAUUUUUAUUCUGAGACCUUUCUCAAACUAUGUAUAUGAAUGAGAAUUAGUGGUGACAGAUUUUUUGAUAGAGACAGUGAUGACACAGGUACUGCAGGAGCCCUGACUGAUACUCAGCAAUUACUUCUGCCCAUCCAAUCUCCAAAUCAAUCCAAUUUACUCCCAUCAGCUCUGCAAUCAGUUCUCCCACUAGCCUUUUACACUUCUCCCUAUCAAUGUGCCUGCUGUUUCUCUCUCUUUGAAAGGAGGUUUUAUUUCCUUCAUUCUGAAUGAAGAGAGAGCUAGAUACAUGAAUUAUUCUUUAUCUCUUGACCAUUUCAAUAGUUUUCUCAAAACGUAUGUUUUUAGUUUUCUUUUUGUCUGUUUCAGACAGUUCUUUACCCGCAAACACAAAAGAACUCUUUCCUGUGACAGAUGUGCCUUGUGGGUGGUUAGAAACAGAUGAACAUCAUGGUUCAGGAUGCACACCUAUGGCAUGGAGAAUUACACUGAAUUAAGAAGUGUCUCAUAGACAUAGUGUCUUCCCUAUGAAGACCAUGGAAAAUCAGACUUCAUUAUAAUUCUUCAAUUUCUAUGCAGAGUUUUUUUAGAUUUUAUGGUAAGAUUUUACCCUUCAGAAUUUUACAACUUUGUGCAAAAGAAAAGACUCUGUGAAGUGUGCAACAACUGCAGAGUAACUUACUUAAAAUAUAGAUACUAGACAAGCUUUAAUUACAAAAUUUAUACAUCAGGUCUAGGCUAGAAGGCAAGUGUGAAUAAAUCUCUUGGAAGUUGGAGGUACAGCAGAAACUCAGCAUCAGCAUGGUUUUGACCCUGCAAUGUCAGACUACAAGGACAAUUAAGUUAAUUAUCCAAGCCUUUAUGGGCUCUUAUGCCAGUUUUUCCAGUCAGUCUGGGCGAGCAACCCUCACUUGGCCAUUGCUUGAUGUUGAAAUGCUGGAACUGGUAUUUAAGCCAGCUUUUGUAUCAAGUGCACUUAUAUACAUCCAUGUGAAGGUGUAUCCAUGCACAUGUGCGUGCACACACACUUAUCUAAGUGUACUUUCAAGGAUUUCAAGGAAUGAAAGACCAAUCCAUCUGUCAAGACAAAUACACUUCUCACUGGGGGAACCUGGCUAUGAUGUUUUGCUUCUCUCAUUUGUAUUUUAUUAAUUAAUGCAGGGUUGCAAGGUGUUAAAUAAAAGUUAGAGCAAAUAGCAUAGAUACAAAGAAAGCUUGCCCUCACCAACAACUGAAAGUAGCUUCACUGACAAGUCUGAUCUUAGGGUGUCACAUUGUAUGUCCCAUUGAUGUGUGGCCUCACAGCAUGGUACAAAACUGAAAGCAGAAUCAGGGAGUUGGGUUUAUAGAAGGGGCAUUCCUUGAAGAGAGAGGAGACAAAAGCCAAGGCCUAUAGCUUCUCUCAUCUCCAGGCUUUUUGAUCUUCCUACAACCACUAAAUCAACAAAACCCUUUAAAAAACAGUGCUUGUAACAGGACCCACUUUAAAUAAAUUCUUUCUGUUUUGAUGCCCAACCUCUCUUGCAACAGGACCAGUGGUUCCUUUGAAAGUGGGAUUUCUCAUCUCACGGCAUUAUUUUAAGCACCAUUUCAUCCCUUUAUAAUACAAAACUGUCAGGAGCAUUCCUCUGUUUGGCUUAUGGAGGAGUCUGUCUUUCUAGUCAUGUGAACACAAAGUCCUUCUCUACAGAAUUACAAAAAUAACCUGUAAACAAGUAUUUCAUUUGUACCUCCCUGUUGUCAUCACAUUUUCCUUCCCCGUGCCUGUAAGUUUCUAAGGCAGAAUAACUAUUUAAUGAUCAAACAAACUAACUGGCACUGUUCCUUCCUAGGAGAAAAGCACAUCAAUAAAACAAGCAAUACUUCAGUUAAGUGGUAAUAGACCAGGUGCCACAGUUUGCAAAGUAAUUACCUGUGGAUACCAGAGGAUUACAGCUGAAAAGAACUAGACACCCUUUCUGUUAUUACUGAUAAAUAGAAGAUGGUACCUGGUCUCAAUUUAACAGCUGGAAUUACAUGAGUAAAUGUAAUAAAAAAUACUACUCUCUUCUGAAAAUUGCACUUGACAGCUGCCUAUUUGUUCAUCUGAAGCUCCAAUUCCAAUUGUUUUACAGCAUGGAAAUGAA